AGUGAACGCUGGCGGCGUGCUUAACACAUGCAAGUCGAACGAGAACGGAUUAUAGCUUGCUAUAAUUGUCAGCUAAGUGGCGCACGGGUGAGUAAUGUAUAGGUAAUAUGCCUCUUACUAAGGGAUAACAAAUGGAAACGUUUGCUAAUACCUUAUACUCCUUAUUAACAUAAGUUAAUAAGGGAAAGAUUUAUUGGUAAGAGAUUAGCCUGUAUUGUAUCAGUUAGUUGGUGGGGUAAUGGCUUACCAAGACUAUAACACAUAACUGGUUUGAGAGGAUGAUCAGUCACACUGGACCUGAGACACGGUCCAGACUCCUACGGGAGGCAGCAGUGGGGAAUAUUGCACAAUGGACGAAAGUCUGAUGCAGCAACGCCGCGUGGAGGAUGACACAUUUCGGUGCGUGAACUCCUUUUAUAUGAGAAGAUAAUGACGGUAUUAUAUGAAUAAGCACCGGCUAACUCCGUGCCAGCAGCCGCAGUAAUAC
rnacentral:rRNA from 1 species